CCUCUUAGUGAUAAGGAUCUGCUACUUGCAAUCCUUAAUGGUUUGGAUCAUGAAUAUGAGACUGUAGUAAGUCUAAUUACCUAUCGGAUGGAUGAGAUAGAUCUUGAGA